rnacentral:rRNA from 1 species
CGUAGGUGGCGUAGCGUUGUCCGGAUUUAUGGGUUUAAAGGGUGCGUAGGCGGCCCUAUAAGUCAGUGGUGAAAUAUCGCAGCUUAACUGUGAGGGUGCCAUUGAUACUGUAGGGCUUGAGUGAAUUUGAGGUAGGCGGAAUUGACGGUGUAGCGGUGAAAUGCUUAGAUAUCGUCAAGAACACCGAUAGUGAAGACAGCUUACCAAGCUUCAACUGACGCUGAGGCACGAAAGUGUGGGGAUCAACCAGGAUUAGAUACCCUGGUAGUCCACACUGUAAACGUUGAUUACUCGCUGUUGGCGAUACACAGCCAGCGGCUAAGCGCAAGCGAUAAGUAAUCCACCUGGGGAGUACGCCGGCAACGGUG